UAAACCGGUUGAAACUAAGCAUAUCAAUAAGCGGAGGAAAAGAAACCAACAGGGAUUGCCUUAGUAACGGCGAGUGAAGCGGCAACAGCUCAAAUUUGAAAUCUGGCCCUUGGGUCCGAAUUGUAAUUUGUAGAGGAUGAUUUUGGUGCGGUAUCUUCCGAGUUCCUUGGAACAGGACGCCUUAGAGGGUGAGAGCCCCGUACGGUUGAAUGCCUAGCCUCUGUAAAUCUCCUUCGACGAGUCGAGUAGUUUGGGAAUGCUGCUCUAAAUGGGAGGUAAAUUUCUUCUAAAGCUAAAUAUUGGCCAGAGACCGAUAGCGCACAAGUAGAGUGAUCGAAAGAUGAAAAGCACUUUGAAAAGAGGGUUAAAUAGCACGUGAAAUUGUUGAAAGGGAAGGAUUUGUGACCAGACUUUUUCUGGGCGGAUCAUCCGGGGUUCUCUCCGGUGCACUUCGCCCAGUAAAGGCCAGCAUCGGUUUUCGGCGUGGGAUAAAAGCAGUAGGAAUGUGGCUCUCUACGGGGAGUGUUAUAGCCUAUUGUAUAAUACCGCGCUGGGGACCGAGGUUCGCGCUUCUGCAAGGAUGCUGGCGUAAUGGUUAUCAAUCACCCGUCUUGAAACACGGACCAAGGAGUCGAACAUUUGUGCGAGUGUUUGGGUGUUAAACCCUCACGCGUAAUGAAAGUGAACGGAGGUGAGAGCCCUUACGGGUGCAUCAUCGACCGAUCCUGAAGUUUUCGGAUGGAUUUGAGUAAGAGCAUAACUGUUCGGACCCGAAAGAUGGUGAACUAUGCGUGGAUAGGGUGAAGCCAGAGGAAACUCUGGUGGAGGCUCGCAGCGGUUCUGACGUGCAAAUCGAUCGUCAAAUCUGCGCAUGGGGGCGAAAGACUAAUCGAUCCAUGCAGCGGUG
rnacentral:rRNA from 1 species